rnacentral:rRNA from 1 species
ACGGGUGAGUAAUACAUCGGAACGUAUCCUGGAGUGGGGGAUAGCCCGGCGAAAGCCGGAUUAAUACCGCAUACGCUCUGAGGAGGAAAGCGGGGGACCUUCGGGCCUCGCGCUCAAGGGGCGGCCGAUGGCGGAUUAAGUAGUUGGUGGGGUAAAGGCCUACCAAGCCGACGAUCCGUAGCUGGUCUGAGAGGACGACCAGCCACACUGGGACUGAGACACGGCCCAGACUCCUACGGGAGGCAGCAGUGGGGAAUUUUGGACAAUGGGGGCAACCCUGAUCCAGCAAUGCCGCGUGUGUGAAGAAGGCCUUCGGGUUGUAAAGCACUUUUGUCCGGAAAGAAAUCAUCGGGGCCAAUACCCCUGGUGGAUGACGGUACCGGAAGAAUAAGCACCGGCUAACUACGUGCCAGCAGCCGCGGUAAUACGUAGGGUGCGAGCGUUAAUCGGAAUUACUGGGCGUAAAGCGUGCGCAGGCGGUGCUGUAAGACCGAUGUGAAAUCCCCGGGCUUAACCUGGGAACUGCAUUGGUGACUGCAGCGCUGGAGUAUGGCAGAGGGGGGUGGAAUUCCACGU